rnacentral:rRNA from 1 species
AUUGAACGCUAGCGGGAUGCCUUACACAUGCAAGUCGAACGGCAGCACGGACUUCGGUCUGGUGGCGAGUGGCGAACGGGUGAGUAAUGUAUCGGAACGUGCCCAGUAGCGGGGGAUAACUACGCGAAAGCGUAGCUAAUACCGCAUACGCCCUACGGGGGAAGCCCGGGGUUCACAAGACCUUGACCUUUUGGACGGGCCGUAUACGGAUUAGCUAGUUGGUGGGGUAACGGCUCACCAAGGCGACGAUCCGUAGCGGGUUUGAGAGGACGACCAGCCACACUGGGACUGAGACACGGCCCAGACUCCUACGGGAGGCAGCAGUGGGGAAUUUUGGACAAUGGGGGAAACCCUGAUCCAGCCAUCCCGCGUGUGCGAUGAAGGCCUUCGGGUUGUAAAGCACUUUUGGCAGGAAAGAAACGUCGCGGGUUAAUACCUCGCGAAACUGACGGUACCUGCAGAAUAAGCACCGGCUAACUACGUG